rnacentral:lncRNA from 1 species
GAGAAAAGAGGGGUGCCAUGGCUGCCCUUCUGGACUGCUGCUUCCUGCUCGCUCUCCUCACACCUCUACACUGAUCAGAUCGUCAAAGCAAUUCAAUCAACAGGUAAUUAAUGAUUCUCACUCAAGAAAAUCAUAUAAUUUCUUGCAUUUCAAUUGUUCGACCAAAUGCGUGGUGUUGCAGAAACGGCGAAACAAGAUAAAGCUCUGUCCUUCAUCCCAGGAUUGGAAAUGGUGACCACGAGCGAUCUCCCGCCGGAGGUUUUCCUGGACAACAGUCCGUCGCCGCUGGCAAUUACGAUCAACAAAAUGGUCCAACAGCUCCCAAAAUCCACCGCCGUCGUCUUGAAUUCGUUCGAAGAAAUCGACCCGAUCAUCACCAAAGACCUAAAAUCGAAAUUCCGCCAUUUCCUCAACGUCGGCCCUUCGAUUCUCGCGUCGCCCGCACGCGCCGCCCCCGACGACAAAACAGGAUGCUUAUCAUGGCUGGGAAGCCAAAACCGCCCUAAUUCAGUAGUCUACAUCAGCUUCGGCACCGUGAUCACGCCGCCGGAAAACGAGCUGGCGGCGCUGGCCGAAGCCCUAGAAACAUGCGGAUUCCCAUUUCUGUGGUCGCUGAAGGAGCACGCGAAGAAAUCCCUCCCAACUGGAUUCCUCGAGCGCACGAAUUCCUUGGGGAAGAUCGUGGCGUGGGCGCCGCAGCAGCAAGUUCUCGCGCACGAAAAUGUGGGCGUGUUCGUCACCCACUGCGGCUGGAACUCCAUCCUGGAGAGUAUCUCGAGCUGCGUGCCGCUGAUUUGCAGGCCGUUUUUCGGAGAUCAGAUGCUGAACAGCAGGAUGGUGCAGGAUUCGUGGAAAAUCGGGGUGAGGGUUAAAGGAGGCGUCUUCACCAAGAGCGAGACGGUUGAGUCUUUGCGCGAGUUGAUGACAACGGAGAAAGGGGAGAAGAUGAGGGAGAAUGUUGGUGUGCUCAAAGACAAGGCUAUGGCUGCCGUUGAACCACAAGGGACUUCGUCUAAGAAUUUCAUCAAAUUGUUGGAGAUAAUCCGAGCGCCCGAAGCCGUUGAUUGCUCCCUCAUUUCUAUGUUAUAUGUUACAAAUAAUCAAUAAUAGAGGCAAAUUUUAGUGGGUGUGUUGGUCUCGCUUAAUAUUUUAGGAUUCAGGUUUUAAAUUCGAGCCUAUCUUGCCAAGUCUUUAAUUUUAUGUAAUUUAUUUAUUUUUUAAAUGACUUAGAGGCAAGAUUAUUAAAUGCAGCAGAUGCACAAAUAGUAGCAGCAAUUAUCAGUUUUAAUUGCUUCAUAUAUGAAAUGCUCACCUCUUUUUUGGCUCUCCUUAUCUCAUUACCAAAUUGUUUAUUUAUUAAUAAAUCUUACAAAAAAAAUACUCCUUCCAUUUCCAAAAAUUAGUUAUCUAUUAAUUUCUCGGAUGAUCCAUACUAUAAAAUAUUUUCUUAAUUUGAAUUGGCUUAAAAAAAAUUUAAUUGCAUGUAAAUAUAUAGAGUAUACUAUUUUUUUUAACCCAUAAUAUAUAUUUUUUACUUUAUUAAUAUAUGAACUUUCAACAUUUUGAAAUUUGGCCCCAAUUAAAAUUCUGAAAACAAUUAAUUCUAUGUAGAUGUCAAAGUUUUCUUACUGACAUUUUUCAGUUGAUAAUUAAAACGUUUUGUUUCAUAUAAUAUGAAAAAGAUGUCGUUUCCUUUCUUCUAAUAUCGGGUUCUCUGAACCCUACUCUAGGUAAUAUAACAUAAAACAUGAAAAAUACGGCGUCGUUUUAUGUUAUAUAAAAAAACACAUCGUUUUAAAAAUUAAUUCCUCCGUUUUAAUUACAUAGGUCACAUUUCCUUAUUUGGACGUCUCAAUCCUAAAACAGAAAGUUAAUACAUAACAAAUAUAUUCAUAUAACUCAUUAUUUAUAUCAAUUGUCAUUGUACCUCGCACAUAUAAUUAUUUCUUCUUUAUUUCGCUCUCCUAUUUCUUGGACAAAUAUAUCCUAACAAAGGUUACUUUUACUUUUCAAUUUUAUUAUAAAUUAUUUAUUUUUUAACAUUCGUAUUCAAGCCUUAUAACCUAUCAAAUUAAGAUAUGGGGAGUAAAUAAAAUAUUACGUAAUAAAAUUCCAGCGUCGACUUAGAAUUGAUUGUUGCUGAAAUUUUAAGUGCACCGAGAAAGUAUUUAACGUCAAUGAAUUCAAGCCUUUAAGAAAAUGAAUGGAUUCAAGAGGAUCCACACCAACUAAUGACUCGCUCACUUUUAAAACCUUCUUUUGGAUUAAUUAAAAAAAAAAAAAAAAAAGAAUCUUUUGGACCACUGAAAUCAGAAGCCCCUAAAGAGAAAUUCCCAACUCCUAAUCAGAACCUUUUUUUUUUUUGAUCGGAAAAAUGGGAAAUUUCAUUAAGAACACUGGUACCAGCAGUACCGAUGGAAAAUUACAACUCAAAUCGUAAACAAGUCACCUGUUAUCCAUUGAGCGAGAGUACAUUCCCGGUCCCAAAGUUUGAAGAUCUUGAUCCAGCUCCAUAAUCUAGCUUUGAUAUCUCGAAUCAGGUUUUCAAUUUUUCACGGUUUACCUUCAAAUCUGCUUUCAUUGCGACUCUUCCAAAGAAUCCAAGUGGUACACAUCCAGAGAGCCCUUAAGAGAAUUCUGUUCUGUUUCCUUCCCAAGUUAGUAAAGGCGUCGAAGUGCGCCGCAAUAUCCCGCGGUUGUGGACCGCUAAUUCUUAAGAGAAUUCUGUUCUGUUUCCUAAUCAGAACCUAGUAGUACUAUCUUAUUGGGCCAAGGCC